rnacentral:rRNA from 1 species
GAUGAACGCUGGCGGCGUGCCUAAUACAUGCAAGUCGAGCGAACGGACGAGAAGCUUGCUUUUCUGAUGUUAGCGGCGGACGGGUGAGUAACACGUGGAUAACCUACCUAUAAGACUGGGAUAACUUCGGGAAACCGUAGCUAAUACCGGAUAAUAUUUUGAACCGCAUGGUUCAAAAGUGAAAGACGGUCUUGCUGUCACUUAUAGAUGGAUCCGCGCUGCAUUAGCUAGUUGGUAAGGUAACGGCUUACCAAGGCAACGAUGCAUAGCCGACCUGAGAGGGUGAUCGGCCACACUGGAACUGAGACACGGUCCAGACUCCUACGGGAGGCAGCAGUAGGGAAUCCUCCGCAAUGGGCGAAAGCCUGACGGAGCAAAGCCGCGUGAGUGAUGAAGCUCUUCGGAUCGUAAAACUCUGUUAUUAGGGAAGAACAUAUGUGUAAGUAACUGUGAACAUCUUGACGGUACCUAAUCAGAAAGCCACGGCUAACUACGUG